rnacentral:ncRNA from 2 species
AGAUCCCACGCGGGAGAGAAUGGCGCCCCCGGUCAGGGGUGCUGUCGCCGAAGGCGCAACCGGCCCCCGGAAACGCUCAGGCAGAAGGGCCGCGUGGGGAAG